rnacentral:rRNA from 1 species
UACGUAGGCAGCGAGCGUUGUUCGGAGUUACUGGGCGUAAAGCGUGCGUAGGCGGUCUUGUACGUCUGGUGUGAAAUCUCCCGGCUCAACUGGGAGGGUGCGCCGGAAACUGCAAGGCUGGAGUAUGGGAGAGGUAGGCGGAAUUCCUGGUGUAGCGGUGAAAUGCGUAGAUAUCAGGAGGAACACCUGUGGUGUAGACGGCUUACUGGACCAUGACUGACGCUGAGGCACGAAAGCGUGGGGAGCAAACAGG